AGUACAACUUAAAUCCUUUAACGAGGAUCCAUUUGAGGGCAAGUCUGGUGCCAGCAGCCGCGGUCAUUCCAGCUCCAAUAGCGUAUAUUAAAGUUGUUGCAGUUAAAAGCUCGUAGUUGGAUUUCGGGAUGG
rnacentral:rRNA from 1 species